rnacentral:lncRNA from 1 species
UGUUGACACUUUUGGCCCCUAUAGUUUACAAUACUUCACUUUUGUGCAAUUUCCGCGUCGUAUGAUCCAUGAACCAUCCGUUAAAGGUUAUAAACAUUAUGUGGGGUUAUCAUAGAGCCUAUUUAUCCAUUGUUGACACUUUGGACCCUUACGUUCCAUAGUUUUCACUGUUUGUCACUUUUAGUCCCUCUAAAGUAUGUUUUCACAUAACGGAACCUUAUGACACGUGCCAAGACAUUAUUGGACGAAAUUUUUCGAGGUGUUACAAAAAGUAAAUGA